rnacentral:rRNA from 1 species
UACGUAGGGUGCAAGCGUUAUCCGGAAUUAUUGGGCGUAAAGAGCUCGUAGGCGGUUUGUCGCGUCUGCUGUGAAAACUGGAGGCUCAACCUCCAGCCUGCAGUGGGUACGGGCAGACUAGAGUGCGGUAGGGGAGAUUGGAAUUCCUGGUGUAGCGGUGGAAUGCGCAGAUAUCAGGAGGAACACCGAUGGCGAAGGCAGAUCUCUGGGCCGUAACUGACGCUGGAGGAGCGAAAGCAUGGGGAGCGAACAGG